GUGGGCCAUCCCUCCAGAUCCUGUCCCUGAAUGCUAAGUUCCCUGGGAACUCCCAUGAUGCACAUGUCAUUAGAAAAUCAGGGAUAUGGCAGAGAUUAAGAACGAUGGAAGGCCAAGACAUGUGGUUAUUGGGAGACCGUGGAUAUCCUUGCACCCCCUGGCUCAUGACUCCUUAUAGUAAGCCCAGGCCAGGACCACAGACGGCAUUUAACUCCGCGCUUACUGCCACUAGACAGCUGGUGGAGCGCAUGAUUGGUGUUCUUAAAGGGCGUUUUCGUGUGCUCCACCGCACUGGUGGCGACAUCAUGUAUUCGCCGGAGAUGGUAAGUAAAAUUGUGGUCCUGUGCGCUAUCCUACAUAACAUCGCUGUAAGGAGUCGCAAAGAGCUUCCCCAAACGGAGGAAUUGCCGGAUGAGGAGCCAGGGGUUGGCCGGACAUUUGGUGGGGGGAGUGUGUCCCGGCGGGGGAAUGAAGUAAGGGCAAGAAUUGUCCGUGAUUAUUUCAGGUAUUUUGUUUUUUCAUUAUUUAUUUUCGUUUUUCAAAGUCUCUGUAUUUGUAUUGUAAUUUUGUACUGAUGUCAUUUACGUAGCUUGGUAAAGUUCAUAGUGUGUUGGUUUUGUUUUGUGAGUCUAUAUUAUUGUUUGUUUAAUAAAUUAAUCUGUAAUGUU